UACGUAGGGGGCAAGCGUUGUCCGGAUUUAUUGGGCGUAAAGAGCGUGUAGGCGGCCUGAAAGGUCAGCUGUGAAAACUCGAGGCUCAACCUCGAGACGUCGGUUGAAACCAUCUGGCUAGAGUCCGGAAGAGGAGUGUGGAAUUCCCGGUGUAGCGGUGAAAUGCGCAGAUAUCGGGAAGAACACCCGUGGCGAAGGCGGCACUCUGGGACGGUACUGACGCUGAAACGCGAAAGCGUGGGGAGCGAACAGG
rnacentral:rRNA from 1 species